GUGGCUGUAGCUCAGCAGGUAGAGCCCCGGAUUGUGAUUCCGGUUGUCGUGGGUUCGAGCCCCAUCAGCCACC
rnacentral:tRNA from 2 species